CCAGAUGGCACGAUACAAUUAUUAUCCUUCGGCGCUCCACCGCCUAUAGGCGUACAUAAAAAGGCUCUCCUUCUGGUUCAUCUCAUUUCCAUCGGGCCACCUACAGCCGUGCCGCCGGAUCCCUGCCGCCUCCGGCGACCCUCAACCAUCACGUCACGGCCUUGCAGCUCACCCCACCGCCGGAGACGCACUGCCCCAACCCACCUUCCACCAGCGAUCGAGUUGUGGUUGCCCAUCUUCUCCUCACCACGCUCCGCCUCGGCCGCCUCGCCACAUCAGGGUCAUCAACGUCGGCGUCGUGGCGAUCAGCACUGCACGGACUUCUCCAGCACCCCCGUGACGUGGUGGGCAACAUGCGCGCGCUGGCCAGCGGGGGAGUUGCCCUUCACGCAUGGCUGCCGGAUCCCUCGUUGAGCCGCAUCCAGAGCUUCCUCGGCCGUUCCCCGCGGCGGUGCCGGCAGCCACCACAGCGGACGGGGCACAGUUUCCCCCACCUCGCCAUCGCCAUGGACGGCACAACUGUGACCCCCGGUGGCCGGUCUCCCCUCCGGUGAGCAGAGGAUCACCACCACAACUGAGCCAUCUUCUGAAGAGACGAAUCAACGGCAGCGGACCACCACACCGGACCAGAACCAGAACGGAAAGAAAAGGAGGCCGUGAAGGAGGUUGAAGAGAGGAAGGCUAGGUGCCUCACAGCCCAGGUCAGCGCCGGGAAGAAGAGGAGACGCGAACAAGUGGAGGAAAGGAGAGGUCCUCGCCAUCAAGAUUCAUUUUGCUGAACAGGUUCAAGUGGCUUCGCGACAAGGUUUGAAAACAUGCUUCAGGGUGACCAUGGGAUGCCCACAGGAGAGUUAACUUUGUUAAAUACACUAUCAGUAGAAGAAGCACAAACAGCCCUCCACAAAAACUUCUACAGUUUUGUGUCUACAUCACAGUACAAAAGACGGCUAGCAAUGAGCUAUCAUGUCGAACAAGCAAAGCUCAGUUGGUGAUGCACUCGCCUGUAGAAAGUACGACCAAGGAAAAGCAAUAAUCAAAGGUGCAUUAAACUACUCCCUCCGUCCCAAAAUUCUUGUCUUAGAUUUGUCUAAAUACGGAUGUAUCAAGUCACGUUUUAGUAUUAGAUACACCCGUAUCUAGACAAAUUUAAGACAAGAAUUUUGGGACGGAGGGAGUAACAUACUUACCACUGCAAUAAGAGAAAUAUUUCUUCCGAAGGCUUUUUCUUUUGUCCUCUGUUAGAGGUGUUGCUUUUAAAGAAAUUUGCUACUGUAUUUGCUUAUGCGGGAUGUUUGAUUAGCCAAAUAUUUCUACUUUCUGGCCUCUGCUAAGGGAUCUAUAUCGUUCGAGGACUCUAGACAAAUUUUAAUGUGAUUUUGUGUUUUCAAUUUGUACUACACAAGUUGAGUAAAGUAGAUGUGAUUUGUGUUUUCAAUUUGUUCUACACAGGUUGACUGAAGUAGAUGUUCUACCUGAAGUUGCAUGAAAACAUCUUAGGAACACAUAAAUAUGGAUUUGAACUUGAUGCCUCAAGAGGAAGAACAUGAAACCGUUGAUUUGAACUUGAUGCCUCAAGAGGAAGACGAUGAAGGUAUUAAUUUGAAUUGGAUCCCUGAACUGGAGGAACCUCAAGUGGCAGAGAAUAUAGCUAUGGAUUUGAACUUGAUGCCUCAAGAGGAAGACGAUGAAGAUAUGAAUUGGAUGCCUCAAGAAGAUGAAGGGAAAGAGGAUGAAGCUCAAGAGGAAGAGGAUGAAGUUAUGAAUUGGAUACUUCAAGAGAAGAGAAGAGAAUUGUCAGAUAAGGAGAGGCAUGGUGUUUACUUCGUCUUGUGUAUGUCUUGUGUAAUCUUGUGUCAAGAGGGGACAAAGAGGCCCUUAUGUCAUGCCCUUGUGUAUGCCUUGUCUAAUCCUUGUAUAUCAACUCUUUGUUGGAAUUUAUUGGAAUUUGAG